UGGGCGUGUGAAAAUAAAGAAUCAGCGAAGUGAAAACUACGGCAGUAGGAAAAGGGUGGGAUAGAGAAGAGAAGAGCGCAAGAGAAGCAACAACCUUUCCAUCUCUCUCUUCAUCUGCAGUGGCCCAAAGAAACUUGAAUCAAACUCGCUCAGGUUUUGUUCUAGUCACGCACACACAGCACACGCACAGCUCCUCUACUUUUUGUGACGCAGAGGAAAACAGAACGGACUUAGGUUCGCCGGAACGAUGACCGGCGGCGGAUCGACGGGGCGGAUGCCGACGUGGAAGGAGAGGGAGAACAACAAGAGGAGAGAAAGAAGACGGAGAGCGAUUGCUGCCAAGAUCUACGCCGGCCUUCGAGCUCAGGGUAACUACAAGCUUCCCAAACACUGCGACAACAACGAGGUCCUCAAAGCUCUCUGCGCAGAAGCUGGUUGGAUCGUGGAAGAAGAUGGCACUACCUACAGAAAGGGAUGCAAGAGACCCACGGGAAGUGAGAUUGGAGGCACUCCACCCAACAUAAGCGCGUGUUCUUCGAUUCAGCCAAGUCCACAAUCUUCGUCAUUCCCGAGUCCAGUGCCUUCCUACCACGCCAGUCCAACCUCUUCCUCCUUCCCCAGCCCCACUCGCAUUGACGCAAACCCCUCUUCCUUUCUCAUCCCAUUCAUCCGCAACAUAACUUCAAUCCCCGCCAACCUUCCCCCUCUCAGGAUAUCCAACAGCGCCCCUGUCACCCCACCUCUUUCCUCUCCCCGAACCUCCAAGCGCAAGGCUGACUUCGAUUCCCUCUCCAACGCUUCCUUCCGCCACCCUCUUUUCGCCACCUCCGCCCCCUCCAGUCCCUCGCGCCGCCACCACGUCGCGACUUCCACCAUCCCCGAGUGCGACGAGUCCGACGCUUCCACCGUUGACUCUGCCUCCGGCCGUUGGGUUAGUUUUCACGGUCAGAUCCCCGCCGGCCCCCCUUCCCCUACUUUCAACCUCAUGAAACCCGCUAUGCACCAGAUCGCUCCUCAGGAGGGCGUACACUGGGGUUCCGUUGCGGAGAUAGGCAGAGGAGUCUCCGAUUUUGAAUUCGAGAAUGGCAGAGUAAAGCCUUGGGAGGGUGAGAGAAUACACGAGGUGGGAAUGGAUGAUUUGGACCUUACUCUCGGAUUCGGAAAAGCUUGAUUUGUUCUCGACAACUACCUUAAAGAAUCACAGAUGCAAUUGCAAUCCUCUCCAUUUGCUUUCUUCCGGCAAUUAAUUGCGUAUAGUCAUUUUAUGCUAAGUAUGCUGCACUUGUUAACGGAAUACUUAGCCUUAAUAAGCUUUACUAUGUUUCGUUCUUGUGGGAUAUUCUCGACUCUAAGUUGUAUGUUGCGUGAGCACUUACUGCUGAGAUACUAUGAAACAACUCUGAUAUGCAAGUGAUUAUCUAUGUCGGCAUUGGCAGUUCGUGACUUUGCCGGGCGAGAAACUGAAAAGCAGGUUUGAAGAUCCUGGGAUAUAUUUAUCCUCUUUUUUCUCUUCUCAUGGAAGAUAGGAAGUCAGAGUCUCCUACGUAUGAAAUGUGCAAAUAUUUUUGCAUUGUUUUCGGAGGAUAUUUGUCAUCGCAUGAUUUAUUAGUCAUGUUUCUAAUUUUGAAUUUGAUAUUCGGCAGCAUUUCUGUUAUCUCAUGAUCAGGAGAUAUAUAUGGGUUAAUUUUGUCAAUGUGACUAAUUUCUUUUAUUAUAAUUCAUUAACUCAGAAAUAGUACCAAAAUAUUAUUAAUAUCACUUGAAACUUCUAAAAUAAAUCAUGAUUUUAUACCAUCAUAUUUUUAUAAGAAGGUAGGAAUAAGGGUAAAAGUAUGUGGUCGAUGCUAUAAAAAUGUUGUUGGAGGUGAACAACGUAGGAAUUGUUAUGUAAGUAACAUAUUUGGUAUAUAAUUUUGUACCAACUAUGUUGUUUUUGUUUCUAUAUAGAAAUCUUAAUUCUAUAAUUCUUUAUUUCUUCUCCUUUUAUGUACAAAAGAUGAGCAUGUGGACUUCUCUAAAUAUUGAUAUUUAGAGAUCAUUAAAUUUGGGACAUGAAUCUUGAAUCUUUGUGACAUAGCUAACUUAAAUGUGAAUGUUUUUGUCAACCAUUUAUUCUUAACUGCAGCCGCUGAAAGAAAUGGGGUAUACAGGUUGAGAGUUUACCUUUCAGAUGGUUUUGUACUAAUUAAAGCUUUAAGGAGCUCCAAUGCUUCGCCUCCCAACAAUCUGGAUUUGGAGAAGCCUCUUAGCUGUACAAGGUUGAUUCUAUUCAGAAUCAGUUGCCCUACAAAUGCAGUCCCACAUAUAGAAGCAUCCUUAGCUGUUGUUGCAACAAAAAGAACAUGACAGAUUUUCAAUGUUUGCCUCACAAACAACAAAGAUAGCAUGGCAGUCCACCCUUGUCUCUCUGCAAAAUAUGUUGAUCUUACGAGGUGCUUUCAUAUUCCAGUUCUCAUUGUUCAACACCAUCAAGUUGUUCAACACAUCAUACAUUACAUUAAGGCCAACCCAGGUUAAGGAAUGUUUUUUGCUGCUGAUAUUAACAUUCAGAGGAAGGUCUUCAAUGACUUUGAUUAGGCUUCAUGUUUAAAAACUAGGCGUUCUACUACUGGUUUCUGCCGAUUUCUUAGUGCUAUCUUGAAAGUCUAAAAGGAAAACUACUGUGUCUUGGUCCUCCUCCAGAGUUGAGUAUCUUACAUUGUGACAUCAAGUUACACAUCAGUAAUAAACGCUUUCCUUCCCGGUGCUACCUUACUGUUACAGAGAUGGGCUACUGUUAUGAGUGGAUUCUGUAUCAUUUCCAAUCAAUCAAUGUUGAUUUAAUGCUUGUGUCGUGGUAUGCUAGUUGCAAUAUUUCACAUGAAAUAUUGUUAAUGAGCAAUCAGCUUUGGAAUCUUGUUGUGGUUUGAGAGAUUUAUUUUCUCAUUGCAGUUUGGAAUAGUUUUGAAUCUGGUUUGUUUCAACAAGUGAGGUAGUUAAGUGUUUUUGU